rnacentral:lncRNA from 1 species
AGGAUUCGGUUCUAAAAUCUCUCCUGUUUAGGAAGAGAAUGCAGUCUUCUGUUUCACCUGAGUGGCAGUCAUGACUAGAGUUUUACUUGACUGGUGUUUCUUCACCUUUUACCAGAGUUGCAGUGAGUCUUUGAAACUCCGCAUCACAUAAUGAGUACAGACGUCAUUGCUGUUCCCAUUGAUUAACAGCCAUUGAUCCAUGUCCUUAGGAAUCUGAUGAAGAAAACUUCGUUGACGUGGGAGAUGACAGUGACGAUGAAAAGUUUACCGAUGCAGACAGAGAAACAGCAACAGAUGCGGUGGAGGAAGUGGAGGCGAAGGAGGCUGAGCCUGAGAGCAGCACAGAAACCGAGAAGCCGAAGGCUGCUUCCUGGGUGCACUUUGACAAUUUGAAAGGUGGCAAGCAGAUAAAGACAUAUGAUCCCUUCGGUAGAA